rnacentral:rRNA from 1 species
GACGAACGCUGGCGGCGUGCUUAACACAUGCAAGUCGAACGGAAAGGCCCUGCUUUUGUGGGGUGCUCGAGUGGCGAACGGGUGAGUAGCACGUGAGUAACCUGCCCUUGACUUUGGGAUAACUUCAGGAAACUGGGGCUAAUACCGGAUAGGAGCUCCUGCUGCAUGGUGGGGGUUGGAAAGUUUCGGCGGUUGGGGAUGGACUCGCGGCUUAUCAGCUUGUUGGUGGGGUAGUGGCUUACCAAGGCUUUGACGGGUAGCCGGCCUGAGAGGGUGACCGGCCACAUUGGGACUGAGAUACGGCCCAGACUCCUACGGGAGGCAGCAGUGGGGAAUAUUGCACAAUGGGCGGAAGCCUGAUGCAGCAACGCCGCGUGCGGGAAGACGGCCUUCGGGUUGUAAACCGCUUUCGCCUGUGACGAAGCGUGAGUGACGGUAAUGGGUAAAGAAGCACCGGCUAACUACGUG